AAAAAUGUAAGGCUAAGGCUUUGGUUAUUACCAUAGUUUAGAAAAUUGUGUGUGGUGCUAAUUUUAAUGAACAAACUCCUCCAUCAAAAAUUAUUCAAAACAAAAUCAAGGGCAAGAACGUGAGCAAUUUUGAAACAAAAGUUUUUCUCUUUUUGUGGCUUCAUAAAUUUUUUACUUGCAAAUAUAAAUAGAUACUCCAAAAUUGUCUCUAGCAGGAUGGACAUUUGAGCUCCCUUGAUGAGUUUUUGCAUGCCUUGUGUGGUGAGCGCUAUGCAUUUAUUUCUUGUAUACUUGUAUUAUUUAGAACUUGUCCUGUUAGUCUUUAAAAGCUAAUUUUUAUUGUAUUAGUUGGAGAAAUGAUCUUAGGACAUCUUUGUGAUUUUUGUAGCCACUUUAUGCUAAAAAGCCUACGUAAGUAUGAAUGUAAUCCCUAGUUACCCACUGUUAUCCUUUGGACCUUUCUUUGACAAUUACACUAUAAGUCGUGAACCAUCCUUUUUAUUGAUCUUUUGACCCAUGCCCAUUUUGAACUUUAAAAUUCAUCUUGAUGCUAAAAGCCUAAGUUAGGGUGGUAAAGAUUUAUAGAAGUAAGUUUGGGACCACAAAGUUAUAAGUGAAAUACCUAAUGUGCAUUAGCAUUGUAAGAAAAUAAAUAGUAAAAAAGAGGAUCCAACAAAGGAAUGAAUUGCACGAAAGUGGAAAGAAAAUGAAAUAAAGAAAAUGAGUGAACAAAGGAAGCAAAAAUUAGGCAUGAUCAAAGAGAUAAAACAAAGAAGAGUGGCCCAUAGUCAAAUAGGUGAAUUUAAUAGGGUGACGUGAAUGUUCAAGGAAGGGUGUAGCCAUUUUGUUACCAAAUGAUAUCCAACCCUAACCAGAACCUAUGUUACAAGCUUAGAAAGACCUUUGAGAUCUCCAACCAUUUACUUUCUGUGUAGUGGCGACGAAAAAUAGGGGAAAGCUUAUGGUAUGAUACUUAUUGCGUAGAGAUUUCUUUUGCGAGGGAGAGAUUUUUUACACUUAAAAUUCCUUAUUGCAUAUUUGGUAGUUUGGUGUAUAGAAUUCUCUUUCUUGUGAGGUUGGCAUGUGAACAAGUUGAGGUGGGUGAUUGUGUCACCUCCCGAACAAUAAGGCAAAUGAAGUAUAGCUUAGUUGUAGUAAAAAAAAAACAAUUCUAUAGUAUUAGUUCUUGUUGCUUAGUUGCUCUUUAAUGUCUUAUGGAUCCUUAGAUAUUGCAAUUUUAUAAUAAGGGGUGUAGUGAAACUAGCCUACCACAUAUGCAAUGAGGUACCUGUGAUGAUCACUAAAGUUGAGGUCAUUAUGAUCUUUAAGGCAUAAAGUGUGGGCACAGACGAUUCUGUCUCAUAGUAAGAGGUAGUGGUACUUGAGGAUAAGUAAUAGCUUUAAUUUGAGGGUAUUGAUGAGUGGUGAUUUUACCACUCAUUUCCACUCAAUAUUCAUGCACAUUACAUUGUUUUGAAUGAAUAUACGAGAUAUAAUUAUGAUUAAUUGCACUAAUAUCAACUCUUUGCAAGCAUAGAGUUGAGGGGAUAGAACGAUGUGGAUUGGACCUUAAAAUGAUCAAAAAGGGAGCAAGAUAGUGUAGCUGAACAACUGGAGCAAAAACUGGCCUCAGUUACAAUGGUUGAUGUCUGAUAUCCACGGUCAUGAUAGCCAAAGCCGCGCGAUUGUGGUUUAGCAGAAAAUGGCAUCCCAAGGGCAAAACUUGAAAUGAACAUGGUUGAUCCCAAAUCUUUUGCAAAAAGACUCAAACUCUAAGUCAUUAAUUAUAUUUCAUCUUCCCUUAUUUGUUUUGGUUUAGCUCUUGAGUUCAUAGCCUCCAUAUUUUUAGAAGAAAAUAUUGUAAAAAAUUUUGGUAAAGAAUACAUUGGAGACCUUCUAAGUUGAGGAAUAGCUCACUUCCAUUGAAGAUUUGUGUGGGUCCAAAGUUUGAAGUAACAUUAAGUUAAUCUUCAACAAGUCAUUUCAAUAGAGUUUGUUGGUAUAUCUAUGAUUAUUUAUCUUAUGUGUAGCUAGAUCUCCUUCUUGGGGUUUUGUUAAAUAGGGGUUAAAAAGUACGUGGGUUGUUAUUGUUAGCCUCUAUUUGGUAGUUCAUACUUGUGGCUUUUAUCAUUUUUAUUCUAACUUGGUUGGAAUUUUUGGGUGAACUUUAGGAAUUCACAUAAUCCUUGAAGGAGGGACGUGGAGACCAAAGCAAUGAUAGACAAUUAUGUGUGUACUUUGCUAAAUUUUCACUAUCUUAGAAAUAAGGGCGAUUGUGAACUUAAUUAUAACCUAGGUAUUAUCCUAGAAAUAGGGAUGUGUAAAUUGAGAUUUCAUUACAAAAUACUAAGCACGCCCUUUAGGCAUUCGGAAGAAUCAAUGGGUGAAAGGUUGGUAUUUUAUUGAAAGACUACCAUCAAAAUCUUUAACAAAACCUACCCAUAUUUGAUGUACUAAACUGAUGUUGGUUACUAACACCUACAUGCCAUUCCCUUAGUAAAACAUAAUCCCAAGAUUUGUUCAUAAUUGUAAAAACUCUAAGUAUUCAUAGCCUCGAAUUUAUCUGGAAAAACCCAAAAAGAAACCUUCGUGUAAGAUACCUACCUCCC
rnacentral:lncRNA from 1 species